rnacentral:lncRNA from 1 species
UUCUUUGUGGGCUCAGGAAUUUCCAAGGUGUUCGUUUGAGAGUCCAAGGACAAAUUCUGCAGCAAUUCUGCAGCUUCUAUGGGAAAGAAAAAAGUGAAGGAAAUACGCAGAACAUAGCUCCGGAUCAUAACCAUUAAUUAAGAGAAACUAUAAAGCUGUACGCAAAAUUCACCAUUCCUUGCAGAGAAUUAUAUAAUCAAAUAAAAUAUCUAACCAACAAAAAAAGAGCAAUCAAUCAACACUGAAAUCACUCUUACAGAAAAAAACAACAUAGAAACCCACCUCAAAUCACGUUAAGCUAUAACACCCGAAAUAAAAACAAAAGCAAAUCAACGCCACAUAUUAACAAAACAAAAGCACAUAUCGAGAAACCAUAAAGAACCCAUGAAACAGAUGUUACAGAUCUCGACCAGGAUUAGAAAGCAAUAUAAACAUUAAAAAGAAAAUAUACCCAGAUCAGGAAAUUUAGAAAGGAUACUCUCAGGAGAGGGAGCAACUGUAGCCAUGAGCGGAUAAAAUUGAUUUUCAGAUCUUAUAGUUGAAACCCUAAAUCUCCGAGAAAUAAGGUAAAAAUAUGAUUUAGGGGUUUGAGUGGGGAGAGGGAGAGGGAGAGAGAGGCAGAG